GGCCAGCCAACAAGGCCCAACAAGCAGGAGCAUCUGCCUCAGUAAUUGGAGUUUCUUGCAAAACAAAUUCAUCAAACUCCUCCUGGAGGUGAGACCAAACAUCAUGAGCAGUACAGCAAGAGGAGAAUCUUGAACAGGGAUUAUUGCUGAGGGAGGUUGAGGGGUCUCCGGGAUUGACUCAUCAGCAGCAUCUUGGGGAUGAUUCUCAUCAUAAAAGCAUUCUAGUGGCAAGCCAAAAACUUGCACCCAAAAUUCACAUGUUGUAAAAUGAUAGUAAUGUAGCGAUGUGUUCGCUCUCCAAGGUUUCAAUAUAACCAAAUGAUUGGCGAAUAACCAAGGUGAAUUCUCAAGAACUCUCUGCUUUACUUCC